rnacentral:rRNA from 1 species
UACGUAGGGUGCGAGCGUUAAUCGGAAUUACUGGGCGUAAAGCGUGCGCAGGCGGCUUUGCAAGACAGAUGUGAAAUCCCCGGGCUUAACCUGGGAACUGCAUUUGUGACUGCAUGGCUCGAGUGCGGCAGAGGGGGAUGGAAUUCCGCGUGUAGCAGUGAAAUGCGUAGAUAUGCGGAGGAACACCGAUGGCGAAGGCAAUCCCCUGGGCCUGCACUGACGCUCAUGCACGAAAGCGUGGGGAGCGAACAGG